CCUACGGGUGGCAGCAGUGGGGAAUAUUGCACAAUGGGCGCAAGCCUGAUGCAGCCAUGCCGCGUGUGUGAAGAAGGCCUUCGGGUUGUAAAGCACUUUCAGCGGGGAGGAAGGCGGUGAGGUUAAUAACCUCAUCGAUUGACGUUACCCGCAGAAGAAGCACCGGCUAACUCCGUGCCAGCAGCCGCGGUAAUACGGAGGGUGCAAGCGUUAAUCGGAAUUACUGGGCGUAAAGCGCACGCAGGCGGUCUGUCAAGUCGGAGGUGAAAUCCCCGGGCUCAACCUGGGAACUGCAUUCGAAACUGGCAGGCUAGAGUCUUGUAAAGGGGGGUAGAAUUCCAGGUGUAGCGGUGAAAUGCGUAGAGAUCUGGAGGAAUACCGGUGGCGAAGGCGGCCCCCUGGACAAAGACUGACGCUCAGGUGCGAAAGCGUGGGGAGCAAACAGGAUUAGAUACCCGAGUAGUC
rnacentral:rRNA from 1 species